GGAUGAUUUGUUGGACGCUAGCGGCGGAUGGGUGAGUAACACGUGGGCAAUCUGCCCUAAAGACUGGGAUACCACUUGGAAACAGGUGCUAAUACCGGAUAACAACAUGAAUCGCAUGAUUCAAGUUUGAAAGGCGGCGCAAGCUGUCACUUUAGGAUGAGCCCGCGGCGCAUUAGCUAGUUGGUGGGGUAAAGGCCUACCAAGGCAAUGAUGCGUAGCCGAGUUGAGAGACUGAUCGGCCACAUUGGGACUGAGACACGGCCCAAACUCCUACGGGAGGCAGCAGUAGGGAAUCUUCCACAAUGGACGCAAGUCUGAUGGAGCAACGCCGCGUGAGUGAAGAAGG
rnacentral:rRNA from 1 species